UACGGAGGGAGCUAGCGUUGUUCGGAAUUACUGGGCGUAAAGAGCGCGUAGGUGGCGCGAUACGACCGGUGUGAAAUCCUCCGGCUCAACUGGAGGGGUCACUGGUAACGGUCGUGCUUACGAGUGCAGGAGAGGGACGUGGAACUCCGGGAGUAGCGGUGAAAUGCGUAGAGACCCGGAGGAACACCAGUGGCGAAGGCGGCGUCCUGGCCUGCGACUGACGCUGUGGCGCGAAAGCUAGGGGAGCGAACAGG
rnacentral:rRNA from 1 species